AAAAGAGCUCUAGAUCUUGUGAUAAAUGAAGGAGGGCAGGAGUUGCUCCCUUUUAUGGACACCCAGCCAGCCAGUUAGCUAUAAAAUCCCUCUUAGUAGCUGUCCUCU